AGAAAAAAAAUCGUGACUUUUUUUCACACCAAAAUUUGUCCCGAUCCUAUCCCGUCUCUCUCAACCCCUUCACAUUUUCCCUCCCCACCCUAAUCCAAGUCUGAAUCAGGCUCUCCCCUCGCUCCUCCACUAGGUUGCCCGAUCCAUGGUUGCCGACGUUCUCCGUCUCGAGGCCGUCAGCCGUACCUCAGGGUGCCCUCUUCCAACGACCACGGCUGCUUCCCACCUCCCCACCUCAGCCCUACCUCCGGCGAGCACUGAAUCCAUGUGCGGGCCUCCUCCUGGUCGCCGAUGCCAGCCCAGAUCGAUGACAACAGCUAGGAGAAAGAGCAGAUGCAGGCUAUAGAUCUGGCUGUGAACAGGGGUUUUGCACGGACGUUGUAAACAUGUGGGCGCUCACUUAUUUGGACUUGGAUUAUACUGUUAAUUUUAGAUGCUAGCAUGGUUGACAUGCAGAAACUUCACAUGCAUGGAAGAUAUGUACUACGUACAAUUCAUUUGCAACAUCUGUACUCUAAGUGCUUCUAUACAUUUUUCAAACUUGAUUGUA